UGCAAACUUCAGGGUGUGAAUCGAUGUU
rnacentral:piRNA from 1 species